rnacentral:rRNA from 1 species
GGUUAAGCGACUAAGCGUACACGGUGGAUGCCCUGGCAGUCAGAGGCGAUGAAGGACGUGCUAAUCUGCGAUAAGCGUCGGUAAGGUGAUAUGAACCGUUAUAACCGGCGAUUUCCGAAUGGGGAAACCCAGUGUGUUUCGACACACUAUCAUUAACUGAAUCCAUAGGUUAAUGAGGCGAACCGGGGGAACUGAAACAUCUAAGUACCCCGAGGAAAAGAAAUCAACCGAGAUUCCCCCAGUAGCGGCGAGCGAACGGGGAGCAGCCCAGAGCCUGAAUCAGUAUGUGUGUUAGUGGAAGCGUCUGGAAAGGCGCGCGAUACAGGGUGACAGCCCCGUACACAAAAAUGCACAUGCUGUGAGCUCGAUGAGUAGGGCGGGACACGUGGUAUCCUGUCUGAAUAUGGGGGACCAUCCUCCAAGGCUAAAUACUCCUGACUGACCGAUAGUGAACCAGUACCGUGAGGGAAAGGCGAAAAGAACCCCGGCGAGGGGAGUGAAAAAGAACCUGAAACCGUGUACGUACAAGCAGUGGGAGCACGCUUAGGCGUGUGACUGCGUACCUUUUGUAUAAUGGGUCAGCGACUUAUAUUCUGUAGCAAGGUUAACCGAAUAGGGGAGCCGAAGGGAAACCGAGUCUUAACUGGGCGUUAAGUUGCAGGGUAUAGACCCGAAACCCGGUGAUCUAGCCAUGGGCAGGUUGAAGGUUGGGUAACACUAACUGGAGGACCGAACCGACUAAUGUUGAAAAAUUAGCGGAUGACUUGUGGCUGGGGGUGAAAGGCCAAUCAAACCGGGAGAUAGCUGGUUCUCCCCGAAAGCUAUUUAGGUAGCGCCUCGUGAAUUCAUCUCCGGGGGUAGAGCACUGUUUCGGCAAGGGGGUCAUCCCGACUUACCAACCCGAUGCAAACUGCGAAUACCGGAGAAUGUUAUCACGGGAGACACACGGCGGGUGCUAACGUCCGUCGUGAAGAGGGAAACAACCCAGACCGCCAGCUAAGGUCCCAAAGUCAUGGUUAAGUGGGAAACGAUGUGGGAAGGCCCAGACAGCCAGGAUGUUGGCUUAGAAGCAGCCAUCAUUUAAAGAAAGCGUAAUAGCUCACUGGUCGAGUCGGCCUGCGCGGAAGAUGUAACGGGGCUAAACCAUGCACCGAAGCUGCGGCAGCGACGCUGAUGCGUUGUUGGGUAGGGGAGCGUUCUGUAAGCCUGCGAAGGUGUGCUGUGAGGCAUGCUGGAGGUAUCAGAAGUGCGAAUGCUGACAUAAGUAACGAUAAAGCGGGUGAAAAGCCCGCUCGCCGGAAGACCAAGGGUUCCUGUCCAACGUUAAUCGGGGCAGGGUGAGUCGACCCCUAAGGCGAGGCCGAAAGGCGUAGUCGAUGGGAAACAGGUUAAUAUUCCUGUACUUGGUGUUACUGCGAAGGGGGACGGAGAAGGCUAUGUUGGCCGGGCGACGGUUGUCCCGGUUUAAGCGUGUAGGCUGGUUUUCCAGGCAAAUCCGGAAAAUCAAGGCUGAGGCGUGAUGACGAGGCACUACGGUGCUGAAGCAACAAAUGCCCUGCUUCCAGGAAAAGCCUCUAAGCAUCAGGUAACAUCAAAUCGUACCCCAAACCGACACAGGUGGUCAGGUAGAGAAUACCAAGGCGCUUGAGAGAACUCGGGUGAAGGAACUAGGCAAAAUGGUGCCGUAACUUCGGGAGAAGGCACGCUGAUAUGUAGGUGAGGUCCCUCGCGGAUGGAGCUGAAAUCAGUCGAAGAUACCAGCUGGCUGCAACUGUUUAUUAAAAACACAGCACUGUGCAAACACGAAAGUGGACGUAUACGGUGUGACGCCUGCCCGGUGCCGGAAGGUUAAUUGAUGGGGUUAGCGCAAGCGAAGCUCUUGAUCGAAGCCCCGGUAAACGGCGGCCGUAACUAUAACGGUCCUAAGGUAGCGAAAUUCCUUGUCGGGUAAGUUCCGACCUGCACGAAUGGCGUAAUGAUGGCCAGGCUGUCUCCACCCGAGACUCAGUGAAAUUGAACUCGCUGUGAAGAUGCAGUGUACCCGCGGCAAGACGGAAAGACCCCGUGAACCUUUACUAUAGCUUGACACUGAACAUUGAGCCUUGAUGUGUAGGAUAGGUGGGAGGCUUAGAAGUGUGGACGCCAGUCUGCAUGGAGCCGACCUUGAAAUACCACCCUUUAAUGUUUGAUGUUCUAACGUUGACCCGUAAUCCGGGUUGCGGACAGUGUCUGGUGGGUAGUUUGACUGGGGCGGUCUCCUCCUAAAGAGUAACGGAGGAGCACGAAGGUUGGCUAAUCCUGGUCGGACAUCAGGAGGUUAGUGCAAUGGCAUAAGCCAGCUUGACUGCGAGCGUGACGGCGCGAGCAGGUGCGAAAGCAGGUCAUAGUGAUCCGGUGGUUCUGAAUGGAAGGGCCAUCGCUCAACGGAUAAAAGGUACUCCGGGGAUAACAGGCUGAUACCGCCCAAGAGUUCAUAUCGACGGCGGUGUUUGGCACCUCGAUGUCGGCUCAUCACAUCCUGGGGCUGAAGUAGGUCCCAAGGGUAUGGCUGUUCGCCAUUUAAAGUGGUACGCGAGCUGGGUUUAGAACGUCGUGAGACAGUUCGGUCCCUAUCUGCCGUGGGCGCUGGAGAACUGAGGGGGGCUGCUCCUAGUACGAGAGGACCGGAGUGGACGCAUCACUGGUGUUCGGGUUGUCAUGCCAAUGGCACUGCCCGGUAGCUAAAUGCGGAAGAGAUAAGUGCUGAAAGCAUCUAAGCACGAAACUUGCCCCGAGAUGAGUUCUCCCUGACUCCUUGAGAGUCCUGAAGGAACGUUGAAGACGACGACGUUGAUAGGCCGGGUGUGUAAGCGCAGCGAUGCGUUGAGCUAACCGGUACUAAUGAACCGUGAGGCUUAACCUU